rnacentral:rRNA from 1 species
CGCGAAUGGCUCAUUAAAUCAGUUAUGGUUCCUUAGAGCUCCUGAUCCUACAUGGAUAACUGUAGUAAUUCUAGAGCUAAUACAUGCAACUAAGCUCCGACCUUCGGGGACGAGCGCACUUAUUAGACCAUGAUCAACCGGGGGCAACCCCGAACGACUGGUGACUCUGGAUAAACUACCGCGGAUCGCAUGGCCUCGAGCUGGCGAUUCAUCUUACAACUGUCUGACCUAUCAACUAGAAGGUAGAGUAUAUGUCUACCUUGGUGAUGACGGGUAACGGGGAAUCAGGGUUCGAUUCCGGAGAGGGAGCAUGAGAAACGGCUACCACAUCCAAGGAAGGCAGCAGGCACGCAAAUUACCCACUCCUGGCAAGGGGAGGUAGUGACGAAAAAUAACAAUACGGGACUCUUUCGAGGCCCCGUAAUUGGAAUGAGUACGAUGUAAAAUCCCUAACGAGGAACUAAUGGAGGGCAAGUCUGGUGCCAGCAGCCGCGGUAAUUCCAGCUCCAUUAGCGUAUAUUAAAGCUGUUGCAGUUAAAAAGCUCGUAGUUGGAUCUGGGGAGCAGGCUGGCGGGACCGCUUCACUGCGGAACUGCCCGUCCUGCCCUUUGCGCCGGGCUUCACAACAUGCGGGUUGCUCUUCGAUGAGUGUCUCCGCGUGGCCCGGUACUCUUACUUUGAAAAAAUUAGAGUGCUCUAAGCAGGCGGACACGCCUGAAUAAUGUUGCAUGGAAUAAUGGAACAGGACCUCGGUUCUGUGAAGUUGGUCGUCAGAACUGAAGUAAUGAUCAAUAGGGGCUGACGGGGGCAUCCGUAUUACGGGGCGAGAGGUGAAAUUCUAUGACCCUCGUAAGACGCCCAAAAGCGAAAGCAUUUGCCAAGAAUGCCUUCAUUAAUCAAGAACGAAAGUCCGAGGAUCGAAGACGAUCAGAUACCGUCGUAGUUCUGACCGUAAACGCUGGCGUCUGGUGAUUGUCAAGCGUGGGUCUAACGACCCUGACAGCAACCCCUCGGGAA